ACAUCCGGUGUUAGAAGAGCUGCGUAGGCUCCUGGGAGGCUGGUAAGAAGAGCGGAGGCUGUGUCCCACAGACUCUGGCAUCAUGAACAUAUUUGAUCAGAAGAUCAACUGUGAUACACUCUUAAAAUUUUCCCACAUAACCCCCUCGACACAGCAGCACCUGAAGAAGGUCUAUGCCAGUUUUGCCCUCUGUAUGUUUGUGGCGGCCAUGGGGGCCUAUGUCCAUGUCGUCACUCAUUUCCUUCAGGCUGGCCUGCUCUCUGCCUUGGGCUCCCUGGGGUUGAUGAUUUGGCUGAUGACAACACCUCAUAGCCAUGAAACUGAGCAAAAAAGACUGGGACUUCUUGCUGUAUUUGCUUUCCUUACAGGAGUUGGCCUAGGCCCUGCUCUGGAGCUGUGCAUUGCCAUCAACCCCAGCAUUCUUCCCAACGCCUCCACGGGCACAGCAAUGAUCUUCACCUGCUUCACCCUGAGCGCCCUGUAUGCCAGGCGCCGGAGCUACCUCUUUCUCGGAGGUGUCUUGAUGUCAGCCAUGAGCCUGAUGCUCUUGUCUUCCCUGGGGAACCUUUUCUUUGGAUCCAUUUGGCUUUUCCAGGCAAACCUGUAUGUGGGGCUGGUGGUCAUGUGUGGCUUUGUCCUUUUUGAUACUCAACUCAUUAUUGAGAAGGCUGAAAAUGGAGAUAAGGAUUAUAUCUGGCACUGCGGUGACCUCUUCUUAGAUUUCAUUACUCUCUUCAGAAAGCUCAUGAUGAUCCUGGCUAUGAAUGAGAAGGACAAGCAGAAAGAGAAGAAGUGAAAUGACCAUGCAGGCUUUCCCAUUUUGACCUCUGUCCCUCACCCCUCAUUUCCUCUUCGCGCACAUUGCAGGUGGUGUGUUCUGUGAUAAUGAAAAGCAUCAGAAAAAAAAAAAAA